AAUUUUGGACAAUGGGGGCAACCCUGAUCCAGCCAUCCCGCGUGUGCGAUGACGGNCUNNGGGUUNUNAAGCACUCUUGGCCGNNNNNAAAAGGCGCCGGAUAAUACCUGGCCCCGCUGACGGUACCUGCCGAAUAAGCCCCGGCCAACUACGUGCCAGCAGCCGCGGUAAUACGUAGGGUGCAAGCGUUAAUCGGAAUUACUGGGCGUAAAGCGUGAGCAGGCGGUUCGGAAAGAAAGAUGUGAAAUCCCAGGGCUUAACCUUGGAACUGCAUUUUUAACUGCCGGGCUAGAGUAUGUCAGAGGGGGGUAGAAUUCCACGUGUAGCAGUGAAAUGCGUAGAGAUGUGGAGGAAUACCGAUGGCGAAGGCAGCCCCCUGGGAUAAUACUGACGCUCAUGCACGAAAGCGUGGGGAGCAAACA
rnacentral:rRNA from 1 species